UCCUCUUCAAAUUGAUUCCAAUACUCCAUGUCAUUCCUCCUAACACCGGCCCCCUCCCAAAGAUUUUCAAAUGAACUAGUUGGUGACACUGGUCAGUCAGUCAUUCAGUAAUUUCUGUAAGAAUGUAGACAAUGUGCCAGUGGUAGAAGAAAAGAAGUAACUUCUGAAGAGAUUCUUUGGUUACAAAGAACUGAUGGUCUCUGACCUUGGGGAAGCACCAACAGGCCCAGACAUGAAGACUUUGCUAUGAAUGGACUUUUUGUCACUAGACAACCUUAUCUUAUUGUUGCUGUUGUGCCUCACUACUGUUGCUGCACUACGAUGCUUGACUUUGUCCAGCCACAAGUAUAUAAAUCAAUUUUCAACCACACUAAAGCAGAUCCCCCCGAUAGGGGUGGGGGGCGUGUGGCCCUGGCACAUGUGUGUAAUCUGUCUCCUUGCUUGAAAGCCA